rnacentral:lncRNA from 1 species
UUUUUUUUUUUUUUUUUUUUUUAUAAAAAAAACCAAGCAUGAAUGACUGUGGUAUUCGGAUCUAGAACUUUUCUGAUAACUUGUUGGAAUUUUCAAAAUUAUUUCAUCUAAGAAUUUAAACUAUCAAAAAUAGAUAAUGUUCUUACUUACUAUGACAUGAGCUACCAUGUGUGGGUUCGGAGAGGGAUUAAUUUUGUUGAUAGAUACAGGAAUAAUAUUUUUAGUCCUCAAAUGUUGAGUAACAGUACAAAUUUAACAUUAUAAAUAACUAAAUAGUGUACCAAUUGAUUAUUCAGUAAAUUGUAAAGAGUUGCAAGUAGAAGGAUCAAAAGUUCACACUUCAAUUAAUUAAAGAUUCAGAAUACAUAGCUAAAUAUUAUAAGAACUAAAAUAAAAUUUCUAAUUUUAGGGGGUCAAAAGUGCUAUUAUCCCAUAGGAGUAACAUAUUUUAUUUAUGGAUUCUUUCCAAAGUGGCAACAGUACGAUUUGCCCUCAUCUCACAGCAGGACGCAGGUAGAAGGUUGAGGACUUGAUUUUUUAAUUCAAUAGUCAACCAUGAAAUAUUUCGUAUUUGCUGGCUCGACUAAUUCAAUGUAGGGUCUAUAAAGAAAAAAUGCUUCAAUUAUUCAUACCCGAUAUCUACAUCAAGUUUAUAGAUCGAUGUAUGACGUGUGUACAUAUAUACCUUUAGCACCAAACUACGGUUAAUAACAUAUGCUCUCACCUCGUUAAAUCACUCAACUACAACAAAAUUUAUAUGGCUUUGCAUAAACACCUUAUAACAUGGGCAAAUAUUUAACAAGUGCUCCCUAUCAAAAGUUUCACUAAUCUAGAGUAAUAAAGAGGGUCUAGAUCUCAUUCAUACCACCAUAUUUCUCGAUGGUAUUUAGGACAUUCCUCUUACACUAGGAAAAGUUUCCUCUUAUUCUUUGUUCUGAUGGCCAAGACUAGUUGUGCGAGUUUUUGUGGUCAAAUGUCAGAGUAGAUCCAAGAACAUUAUACUAAAAAGUAGCAGGUUGAAAUCACCAAGAAACUACUAAGAUUGAAACACCCAUAUACCUCAAUGCAAAAGAAUAAAUGUACACUUGUUACAAGCAGAACGCUUCUCUAAUACUAGCCAAAAAAAAAAAAAAAAAGAAAGACUACCCAAAAAAGGGGAAUGAAGGAAUCAACUAAAUAUCAAGGACUUCAAUUGAUCUACAUGAGAGAAUGGCUGAUGCACAAUGUAUUUUUAUGAUUUGCAAAUCACCACAAAGCAAGGAAGCAAAGCUUUAGGAUUGAGCAAAUAGAGUUCUUCAAUGUUUGAGUAGACUCCAACUUUGCCAGCCAAUGAAUCAAACCCUGAUUGACCAAUCAAUUCUUGAACGUUUUCCAAUGGUCUAUGCACUCUACCAGCAAUAACUCUGCAUACUAUUAGAGCCUUUCUCCAAGAUGACAUAUUUUCCUCAAUAGAUUCUAGUGCUCUUCCACUUGUGGAGGCUGUAAAAACACCAACCCCACCAUUGAUUUCCUUCUUGAUUGAGAAUCCAUGCCUUAGAAUCUUGCAAACUUUGCAUUUUUCUGAUGUGCAUAGGCUAGAAGAACCAUUGAUGCCAAGAAAACACUCAACUGUCGUGCCAUAGAAUCUUAAUAGCUCGUUCCCAUCUGCUAAGCAACGAGGGUGUUUCUUGGCGAGUUUAUUGGCCUUGAUCUUUACUAAUUCACGAUAUUCCUCGAAUUGAGCUAGUACUUUCUGCAUAUUGUGUACUUUCAAGAUCCUCUCAAUCCCAUUUGAGUUGUUUUCAGGCUUUGACCAGCUUGUUCUGCAUAUUAUCUCUACAAUUUUUCUUGAAGAAUCCCCUUCAACAAGUUCUGUCACUGCAAAACACACAACAAUAUGCUUUAAGGCAACACAUGUGCAACAAAACUGUCGAAAUUAUUCAAGAGAAAAUUUGAACAAAAUCUGUCCCCUCUGGUAGGCCUAUUUGCCUCGAAUCCACCAGAUUAGUCAGAUGAGUGAUUGCGAACCCAAAGAGAGGUACUAUAACUAAACGUUAACAAAAAGCAAAAUAGAUGUGCCUACCAGCAUGUUUGGAGAGAUGGUGUGCUUCAACAGCUUCCCACUUCACAAAUUGCUCACCACAUUUAUGACAAGUCAAUGCAGAAAAGGUAUGGAAAUCAGCGCCCGAAGAAGCCUUAGGCCUCGAAACAAUACCCCCAAAUCCAGCACCUGUUUUUCUUGAUAAACUCCCAGGUGACCCUUUCCUUAUAGGGCUACUACCAUAGCCUCUAUAUUUUCUUGAUGACCCAAUAGGUUGUCCACCAGGACCAGGGGUCCCUGGUUUUAAAGUACCCAUAAAAGCAGAAAUACUCUCAACACUAUUCCUACAACUACCAUUACCAUCUUGGAAAUUACAACUAGUAAUCUUGAGUUCACAAGUUGAAUUGCUCAAUACAACUUCAUGUGUAAUUGGAUUCAAAAGCUCACUGCUUCCAAUAGAUCUUGGACUUUGCAAUGGUGGCUUCUCCAUAUGCCUUUUACUUCCAUGUAUAACAUCUUUAAGAUUUGCAAUGGACCUUGAACAACCUGACCUAACUGUCGUCGCCUUUUUCGUCGAUAUCUUGCUUAAAUUUCUCCCAUCACUUCUUGGAUCAUGCACAUCCUUUACCUCUGAUCUGCACUGCAAUGAUUUCUUUAAAGCAAACCAAACUGCUGGCAUUUUUUUUUUUUUUUGUCUCUCCUCCUUUUGACCUUCAAAUUAGACAAACCUUGAAAAUAUACAUUGAAUCAAAAGUUUAAAAGUGUUUGGUAUAAGGAAGGGGAAAAAUUUGUUAAGGAAAAAAAAUCUUCCCACCAUAUAUAUUUUCCAGUUUGAAAAGGCAAGUGUAAAUUUGUGUCCUAUAUUUUUGUAACUAUAAUAAAUGCUAUAGAUUUAUGAAAACUUCUUCAGAACAUACAUUAUUAUUCAGAAUUCCAUGCAGUGAAAAACCAUCAUAACACGUUUAAUAUUCUAACAUUCAUUAUACAAAUCAGCAUCUAAGUUAUGGUCAUUAAUUAAUAGCUGGUUUAAUUAAUGAUAACGAUAUUAUUCAAUGGGAAAGAGGAACUCUGCCGUAUAGAAUCAUCCCACAACGUGACCAUUAAUAUACCAAACCAAUUGGUCAUAUAUCUAGGCAGAAAAUAAUAUUUUACACUUCUCCCUCCCUGUCCAUAUUAUAUGGUGUUUUUAAUUUAUAUAUUUAAUUUUAAAUAAAUGUUUUUUACAUAAUUUAUUUUUAUUUAGAUGGGUGAAUUUUGAUGUAACCCAAAAAUCGUAUAAAACAUAAUACUGUACUAUUUAAUUAAGAAUACAAUUUAGUGAAAACACAUCUUAAGGGGAAUACUCAAACUAUUAGUUUGAUUUGUAUACUGUUAUAUACCAAAAUGUCUUUUAAUAUAGUGAUCCUAAACACGUCACAUGUAAAGGUUAUCGGAAAGAAAGAUACAUUCUUAUUAAAACAAACUAAAAAGUAAAGUAAUACAAACAAAUUAAAAAACUAGAGUAAGUUUGAAAGGAAACGUCACGUCAUAUUAAAUUUUGGUUAAAUAAAAGGAUUUGAACUCUUUGCUCUUGUAGUAGUAAUUCGUAGACUGGUGUGAAAUGACAUUGUUGGUACGAUUAUGUAAAUUUAAGGCAUCUCGUCAUAUAAAAAUGGAGUAAAAUUUGAGUAGAAAAUUAAAUUAAUUGAUGGUCGUUGGUCCAAAAACUCAAUUAAAUACGAUGAGUUGUUAGUUAUUGACCAUGCAGAGUUAGGAGGCAUGUGACGUCUGUGUGUGAACAAAGAUUAUUUUAAUUUAGAAAUUUAAAUUAUUUGGUAGAAAAAAUUGGAGGUGACUCGUUAAGAUUUAUCCUAAAUUUGUGUUAAUACGAAAAGUUCGUUUUCUUUUUGGUGAAAAAAACUUUUCUAUAUCUAUUUCUUUUGGAGGAGAAGUUUUUAACUUUUAUAAAUCACAACACUAUUAACAUAAAUAAUAUAGUCAUUGAAGAGUUUAUUUAGAAGAGAGAUUAUUCUGAUUGAUUUUUCAUAUACCAAGUCAUAUUUAUAAAAAAAAAUAUGCGUCUUUAAUAUAUUUUCUUUUGUCAUCUGACUCUUGAGUUAUAGGUCCUCAUAAAUUUGUAAAAAUUUUCAUAACAGGCUCUUUUGGUUUUGAUCCCAACACAAAUCAAAAUAGUACUUCCUCCGUUGACCUAACUUAACUUGACACAAAAUUUAAGAAAAUAAAGAAACUUUUGAAUCCUGUGGACCUAAAUUAAAGUUAUGUCAAAUGUACCAAAAUAUCUUUUAAUCUUGUCGUUUUAAACAUGUUAAGUGGAAAGUUGAAUUAAAAGUAUUGUCAAAAAAGGAAGGAUCAUUCUUUUUAAAACAGACUAAAAAAACAUGAGAACAGAAGGUAAUAAAGAGCUAUCAUACGGCAGUUAGCUUUAAAUAUCUAAAAGCAUCCAUCAAUUGGAAUUUCUACUCAAUGUGUCUGUAGAGGCAAAUUGAAAACGAUAAAUUCGAUACAACAAAGGCUACACAUGAGUAAAUAUAAUUAAGGGGUGAAGGUACAAAGUGAAAUCAUAAACCAAUUUGAUUACGAGCAAAAGUCCAAAUAUGCUGCUACAGUAGCCAAAACUGUACCUGGUGUUUACGAAACCAAUGUAUAUUAGAUAUUUGUCUUUUAUACACAUAUUUAUCGUUUAACCCUGAUUAAUUCAUAUAUAUUCUCACUUAAACUUUUACUGUCAAAGCCAAAUUAUUUGAUGUAAAUAUAAAAUAAGGAUAAACAUUUAGUUACUAUAUAAAAAUGUAACUGAACUUUUUAAAUAUGUACAUAUUAAACUUCAACACUAUAAACUCAAAGUUUGAAUUCGUUUUUGUUCAUAUGCACAAACCAUAUGUCUAUAUUAUCAACAACAGCUACUGUGUUCAAUCCCAAAUAAGUUGCAUACGUACACCUAUUCUUAACUGUAGUAAAAGUAUGGGCGGAUCUAACAUUGAAUUUACGAACCUAGCAAAAUCCAAUAGCUUUAAUUCGAACUCUGUUUGCAUUAAGAAUUUUAGAACUCAACGAGCAAUAUUAUAAUUUAGAACUCAUAAACUUAAAAUUCCUAGUACGAGCAUUAAAAGCUUUGGUCUUCUACUUCUUUGGGUGCAUCUACCGUCAUAACUAAAAAGAAGAAGGAAGAUUAGGACAUAGUGCUAAAUUUGCAGGUUGAAGGGACCUACUUCUAUCUUUGUGCAUGUAGAACAAUAAAUUACUGAAAGCAUCUCCUUGCUUCAAAAUGCCAAUUCAUCUAAAAUGGUGACCUGUGAUAAAUUACAGGGUCCCAUUUAUACUCAAUUUCUAUCUACCAUUUGAGAUGAAAUCCCCUAUCAUCAAUUCCUCCCAACAUCCAUUCUUUUAAUGGUCUUUAUGACAAAAAUAGCUUUACUAAAUUUGUGCAUACUCUCAUUCACUUGGUUUUUGUCAAAUGCAUUAAAAAAAUUGUGCUUGAACAGUUUGCCCUACGUAUUGUUACUAGUGGGAGAAAAAGAACAAAACAAAUGUUACCCUACUGGUCUAUAUGUCACAUACAAGACCAGAAAUACGUUAUAUGCAAGAAAUGUUAAAACGGUAUGAACUGAAUCAUUGGAAAGUUAAAACGUUUAGACGCCCUAUUUUAUUUUAUUUAUUUGUGGAACAGGUUGGUUGAGCGAUUAAAAUUUUCUUUGAUCGGAUUUUUCUCUCUUUUUUUUUUUUUUCAGUAGUACCUCGACGUGACAUGAUGAAAGGGGUUCAAGAAUCCAUUUUUUUUAUAAGGGUUAAAAUCACUUAUUUGGGCUUUUUUACCCCCGACCUACACAAGUGAUUUUCCACAUUUGGAAAAGUUCUGUUAGGUUCUUAGUAGAAAGAGUCUGAGGUCUGAUCGGACGACAUACAUCUUGGUUGGUUCCACCACCACUAGAGAUUGGACAUAUAUAUAAUCUUUCUUCUAAAAAAGGGGUAAAAAUUUCCUAAAAUUUAAAACCAAAAUUAAUCUGAAAAAUCAAAAAACUGAAAUCAAAAUUGAUUUGAUUUUUCAAUUUUUCCAAUUUGAACCAAAAUAUUCUCAGCCCUACUCUCACCUCCAUCUUUACCUAUUGUAAAUGUGAGCUUAAUUUACCACCUGGUGUUCAUAGAUUCUCAAAGACGCAAGUUUUUUAAACUUCCGGUGUGAGCAAGUAUUUACAGUUUUCUUCUUUUGACGCACAUUUGUCUAAGAUGACAGAAAAGUUAGAAAGGAAAAGUGGCAUUGCUGAUGUACACCUGAUCUCUAUGUUAUGGAUUCCGCCAAGGCAUAAUACGAGUAUAUAACUUUGUGAAGAAUUACUAAUUUUUCUUUUUACAUUGUUUCAAAAGAAAGUUGCUUUAUUGAUGGGGAUGGAGGUAAUUUUGAAACUUAAUAAAUCAGCACGUCAUCCCCAUAUACCUCACUGAGCAACCAAAUUUUUAGAGGAAGUCAACAAAAUCAUAGAUAGCACACAGAAUAGUGAUACGCUGGAAAUAGAGAAAUGUCACAUGGCCAUUGGCAUUGACAACCAUCCUCUAUGUUGGUUAGACUUCAUUAUUUCCUUCCCAGUCUUUCCUCCUUUCCGACACACACCCUGGUUGCCUACAUUUGCAAACUUAUUUGAACCAAUUUUUACAAAUAAUGUGUCCUAAAUAAAUCAUUAGCAGUUCUCUUGACGUAUGAUAGGUCUAUUUCCCGAGUCAACAAACGUAACGAAGAAGUGUUACCAACAGUACUUACAGCACCACUAUGCCUACCUCUAUUCAGUUAGAUUUAUCCCCCGAGUCGAAAUGUAUAAAAUACAAAAGCACUAGGCUCAACAAGUGGUUAAAAUAACUGACUAUGCACAUGCUAAGUGGCCUAGAUUCCAACACAUGAGAUCAGAUAGUAAUACAAACAAGGACGGACGGGGCAUAAAUGGUCCAUUCUCUUUGAUAUCUCACCACAAAUACAGGAUGCCAAACUAUCAAUUCUAAAUGAGAUAGCUCUAGUUACUCGUAAUGUUACUACAAUGCUUUAAUACCUCUGCAUACACUAACCAUUAACAAACAAAUACUUUGGUGGAAUGGUACAAAGUACAAUCUACAAAAGCAUAGAUCCUCAAUCUUUCAAAGAUUUGUGACCGGGCAGCCAUUUAGGCACUAGAACAUAAAACAGCAUCUUUACACCCACCUGAACUUCAAGCGAAAAGAGAGCAGACUCUGAAAAGACUGAAAUUAUUAUAGUACAUACAUGAAAUACAUUUUUUUUCCCAUUUAAAGUUCAAACACGAUCUGAACAUGACCAGCAAAGCAUUACAGAGAUAAGUUGUUGGCUACAUGCAAUGUGAACAUUUUUCUCUAUGGACACCACAAAAUCAGAGCAGAAAAUAUGACCUGCCAAGUACAGAUGCGUUAUUUUGACCCAGGUUACGUCCUCUAAGGCAUUCCAGAUCCAUCACUUGCGAGUGAUCCACGAAAAGAUUAACCUGAAAAGAUUAGCAUAAUGAAAUAAUUGAACCGCCAUAUUGUGCAAUGUAGUUUUUAGAGAGAUUUGCUUGGAGAAGCUUAGUACCUUUGGACCAUAACGUUUAACAAACCACUCAGAGAUUUUAGGAUUUGAUGCCUCAAACAUAGUUUUCUCAAGUCCAAGACGGCCCACAAUCUUCGCAACCAUAUCUGAUCUGAGUAAAUCAGCCUGCCUACACAAAUCAUCAGCAUUGAUCAUUAUCAUGUCUGCCCCAGCUUCUAAGCAUCUCUCUGCCCUUCUCACUAAAAGAUCCACAUCUUCAACCAUCUCUGCAGAGAGACAAAACAGCAUGAAGCAUGCAACAGAAACUGUUAUGCAUUUCACUCUUCAACUUCUAUGGCACGCCAGACAUUACAAAAGGUUCCUCAUAGGAGAGCAUGUUAUGUUCUCUUCUUUCAAUCUACUAUGGUGAUCUGGGCAUUGUAUAACUUUACACAUGAUCCAGCUACCCAAACAACCUUUUGAGAAAACAUGCAUUGGUCUUUCAAGAUCAGGCAUCUAAAAUAUUCAGAGAAGGUUUUUGCAGACGUCACUUUGUCUCUCUUAAACAUUUGUUAACAUAGAGAUGGAUGUGCUAUUCCCAGGAAUAGACAAAACAGAAAACAAAGUGGAUCAACAAUGAGAAAUAGCUCAAUAACUACACCCUAAAGCUGAUUAUUUAGAAGAGAUGAUUAAGAAGCUACGAGUUCUAACUAUGUAGUCCACACUUCAGAUAAAGUCUACUAUGAACUCCUAAAAGCUUCGGAAGUCCAUCAAAUUACUAUUCACAUAUUAAUUCGAGAAUAAGUAAGAUACAUAAAAUAAGUAAUAGAAAUGAAACAUAUUUACAUAUUAAUUAGCAAUCAGGAGAGUGGCCCAAUUAAAACAAAAAUGCUAGAAUAUCAGCUGUCGGUGCCAAGAAUCAAUUUGAUUUGCCACAGUAAUAUCCUUAGUUUCAAGUUCAAGCAAUUUUGACACCUCAACACCAUGCAACAUAGCUUGCACCUAUUUAAAAUACCUACUAACCAAAAUUCCAUGAGAUGCAAAACAGUCAUUGAUGAAGAAAUGCUAGUUACAGAAAUACAGCUAUACAUCUAAAUACUUGCAACUUUAGCCGGGAUCUUUAGUGUUAAGGUGUUCAUAUGCAACUUAUUAUACAAUGUAUGUGGAUUCGUGUAUGUUUGUACCCAAAGAGGUAUGAAUGAACUAAAAGAUACUUUUCCCUAGUAGUCUACAAAUAACAUUUUAAAAAAAAUGUUUGGAAAUUUAAACUAAAUGGUCUGAAGAAAUUAAUAUUUCGUUGAUGAACGCAUCUCCUGAUGCAUCCUCUGUUUUAUUGUUUCAUCUAUUAUCUAUGUGUGACAUUAGUGUUCUUUUAGGAAAAAAUAAUGGAGAGAAAAGAAUCCACAGAUAUAGCUUACAGUGGUGACAGUGCAGCUCUCUAAGAGAAUGUAAAAGAGAAAUUGAAAAAUAAAUUUAAACCAGAAGUACUAGCAUACCAGAGGUUUGAGGUGGAGGAAUCACAUAAGCCCCAAAAGCUCUGUCGCCUGUGAAGGCUAUAUCAGACUUAUUAAACUUAACAGAGAACUGAGGCUUAGCUCUGAGCCCACCGCUCUUAAUCAGCCGCACAUAUCUCAAGAGGGUCUCCUCAGGUAGACCAAGUGAUGCAACAUCAAGCUCAAUUGUAUCAAACCCCAAUUGCUUACAUUCCUGAGAUUACAACAAGUAAUGUGUUAUUACCAAGAUUCAAAAAUCAAUUAGAAAGGAAACACUGAAACCAUAUUCACUUCCUCAUACCUCUAUAUAUUCUUUAAAAGCAGAAGGACCUUGGCGAAGCAUUUGAUCUGCCCAAUCACCAGAACUUACAUAAACAUUGUGUUUAUGUGCUAUAUCAGUCACUUCUUUAAGGUAAGUCUUUGGCACCAAAGUGUGAGAUCCAUCACAUAAUUUCAGCCCAUCAACAAACUGACCCAUACUCUCAAAAACAUCCUAUAAACCAGAAAAUGAAAAAAUUCGAUAAAUUCGAACCAUAAGAACAGAAACUAGCACGGAAUUUUGAACACAAACAAAAGUCCUUUUAGCAUUGCAAGUGCAACGGUAAAAAAUAACGCAUCCUUGCCACAGGCUUAACUGUCAUGCCCCAACCAACUGCUUUAUUAGAAAAGCCCAACACCCUUAUUUAUUUCAGAAUUCAUCUUGCAACUUACUCCACGACCAUACAUAAGUUCCCGAACCACCCUUGGUCACACCAGGAAUUAGGACGCAUGAAUCUGUAGGCCCCAAGCCACGAUCUCUGCGUGUAUGGCUCACAACAUAUCCACAAAACAAACUGGAGAACUGCUAUACAGAUAAUUGGCCAAGAUCUCACCCACAAAACUCAUCUCUGUCUUUUGAGGCUCCAAUAGGACAUGAGUUUUGAGAGAUCCAAACCUCCUUCAUAUAAAGAAUUCAGACAUUCCUUGACAGCAUAAAAUACACCGGGCUGCCCUUUUUAGACCUUCCUUGACUGAAAAACCAAGCAAUCUGCUAUCAAGUUACUCUCAGAAACUGCUAUACAGUUUACUUACUAUUUGGUACUGCCGCUAAAGCAUUCUUUUUAGAUAGAAUACUGUACUUUUCUAUUGCAAGGAAGCUCUGAAACAAUUGAGAACACAAUCCUUCAGGAAAUACUAAAAUCUCGCAACCUCUCUUUUUCUCCCUAUUUACUCUGUGUUCUUCAUAGUACUUAUUUCAAUUUCAAUUGUGUUUGCUGCCACUGGCCCCUUCCCCUAUUGAUUAUACAAUUUACCCCCGACAGCUAGCAGCAAUCAGAAUUUUGAAUUCCAAGUCAUUAAAGUACAGGUAAUCCAAAAGUGCAAGAUCACAGAGGUGGAUCAUGAACCCAGCCCUGAAAUGACCAUCAAAUAAAACUAGAAAGCAUGAUAAUUCCCAGUUAUUGUAGACUUGAAAGAAAUAAAAGCAUCAUAUCUCUGAGUACUUAGAAUUUUUUAAUUGGACGGUUCACACAUUGCAACAUGGUCUCCUCGGAAAACAAGUUCACACAUUGCAACAUGGUCUCCUCGGAAAACAUGGACCAGCUAGAUGUACAAUGUUCAAUCGGUGCAUAGACAUAUUAACUUGAGCUUUUUGAAUGAAGUGAUUCCCGUUUGGCCAUAUGUUUUGUAUUUGAAAAUUUGAGAACUAAUUUGAUUUUCUAAAUUGUGUUUGGACAUACAUUCUAGUAUACUUGACAAAAAUUUGAAGUUUUGUGAGUGUAAGUCCCAAAAUCAGGGGAACUUGAAAAUAUUUGAAGAUAGAUUUUCAAAAUAGGAUCAAAUUUCAUGGCAUAAACAAAAGCUAGCUAGACAAUCUAACAGCAGCGUCAAUUCCUUGACGCUCAACAACAUUUCAUAUUUACAAACCUCAGCUCAAUUUUAUACAGUGAUCUUAAUAAACGUAACAACGUUCAAUAAAUUAAGCUUAAGUAUCAAAAUUAAACCACCCAGACAACCAAAGAGAAAAAAAAAAAGAAGGAUUACCUCAAUAAGGCCUCUGGAGAAAAGGGAAUAGUGGGGACUCUUCAUUUCUGUAACGCCAUAACGACGAGGUUUUUCAGGACGAUCUCCAUCAUCAUUGAAACUCUUCCACCUGUAUGCUGCCAUCUUUUGAUUCCUCCUCCUCCUUCACACACGCACACACACAGUGGAGAAAAAAGAGAGAGAGAUGCAAAUGCUCAGAAGAACGACGGGAUUCAAUUUGAAAAUAUUGAAUUUCAAUUGUGAUUAGAAGAAGGUUUCAGCGGUUUCUAGAACCAACACUAGCUGUUUCGGUUAUGGGCAGAUACAGGAAAAGAGUUUUCUAGUUUCUUCCUUUUUGACACGUAUGAGACACUGCUUUUUUUUCAGUAAGCUAAUGAAAAUUUAUCUUCUUAUUUAAAACUUUCUAUUGUUUAAUUAAUACGGUGGGGCUAUUUCCCUUUUUAUCCUCCCAAAAAUAAUAUAUCUUUUUUUGUUUAGUAACUAAUAUUUAAUCACACCAUUUUCAUUUUGUAUUUUGUGGAUCCUCUUAUUAAGAAAAGAUAACUAAAAAGCCUUUUAUUAAUCACACCAUUUUCAUUUUGGAUUUUGUGGAUCCUCUUAUUUAGAAAAGAUAACUAAAAAGCUUUAAAAGGGUAAUUUUAUAAACUUUACAAAGUCUUCACUUAUUUCUUAAACUUUACACAAAAUUUAUCUUCUUAUUUAAAACUUUCUAUUAUUUAGUACCGUGUGUCUAUUUCCUUUUUCAUCCUCCCAAAAAUAAUGUAUCUUUCCUUAUUUGGUAACUAUUUAAUAGCAUCAUUCCCAUUUUAUAUUUAGUGGAUCCCCCUUAUUAAGAAAACAUAAUUAAAAGGUAAAUAUUAAAAUAACUUUAAAAGGGCAAUUUUGUAAACUUUACAAAGUCAUCACUUAUUUCUUAAAGGCAUAAUACAUAAAUAUGACCCUAAACUUGACACCAAAUUAUAACUUUAACCUUAAACUUUGAUAGUGCACAAAUAAAAUCUUUAACUAUUCAAAACCUGAACAAAUAUGACCUCCGAUUUUGCAACCUCCAUGCGUGAGUUUCACUUGCGCCUACGUGGAUAUGUAAUCCAAUCAUACGGUGUCACGUCAUUUAAAGGGGUGACUGGGAGGACUUUUGAUAUGGAACUUAAAACGAUGUCGUUUUGCUUCUAUAAGUUAAAACGACGUCGUUUUGCUUAUUAUUAUUAUUAUUAUUGUUAUUAUUAUUAUUAUUAUUAUUAUUAUCGUUAUUAUUAUUAUUAUUAUACUAUUUCUAUAUAUUACGUACUACUAUUGCUUCUAUCAAUACUAGAGGAGCAUGGCCCGUGUCAGCACGGGCCCAACUUUAAGAUAUUUAUUUAUUUUUUCAAUCUUGAUAUAUUUAAAUAAAAAAUUUUAAUAAAAGGAUUACAUAUGUUUUCUAGGAUUCAUCCGAAAUCUAGCUCGAGUUCAACAUAUAUUAUUUUGAUGUGUAUUUAGAUAAUUUAAGUUGUUAACUAUUGUAAUUUAUAAUAUUUUUUAUGUGAUUUUUAAAUUAAUAUACGUUACUUUUCUUGUCCAAAUUAAUGUGGCAUUGAUAAUUAAUUAUAUCUUAAAAAUAAUUGAAGUUUUUAAUUAUUGUGAUUUAUAAUAUUUUUCUUCUAUUCCAAUUUCAGUGACACUAAUAUAAUUUCAAGAGUCGACCAAAUAUUUUAUAUCUUUUAAAUUUUUUAAGUUGUUAAUUAUUGUGAUUUCUAGUAUUUUUCAUGUAACUUUUUUGGACAUAUUAAAUUGCUUUUAGAUAUUUUAAGUGGUUAACUAUUGUAAUUUAUAAUACUUUUAAUGUAAUUUUUUUAAUAAUAUAUGCUACUCUCCUUGUCUAGAGUUUUGUAUCGACAAUAGCCAAUUAUAUUUUUUUAAAUAAUUUAAAUUUUUUAUCAUUGUGAUUUAUAAUAUUUUUUCUAUUUCAACUUAUAUAGCACAAUGCUUAAAUGAACAUAAUAAUUAAUUAGGGGUAAUAUAGUAAAAUGUAAUUAUUAUUAUUUAUUAUUUAUUAUUUUUAUUAUGUGUAUGUGUUGAUUCAAGAAGAAUUUGGAAAUAUUUAGAAAUGUGUUGAAUAUUACAAAUGUUAAUAAUCCAUUUGGUGCUUCUUGAUUUAUCUACAUUUAUUUCUUGUGUGUUUUUACUCUUUUGCCCUUUGAGUAUAUGUAGUAAUUUUUAUUUUUUAAAAAAAAAUCAUGAAAAUUUUUAUUCACAGUAUGUGUGUGUGUGUGUGUAUGUAUAUAUAUAUAAUCGUGGAUUCAAUAUUAUUAAUUUUUCAAUACAUAAGUGACUUAUAAUAAUUAAUUGCGGGUGAUACAUUAAAAUCACGAUUGAAGCAACAGAAAUCGGUCAAUUUUUUAAAUUAUUUUUGUUAAUUAUUGUUAUUUACUCUACUUUUUAUUUUAUUUUCAAAUAAUAUAUGUUGCUUUAUAUCUUCUUCUAUUCUGUCCCAAUUUAUGUGACACUAAUAUAAUUUUGAUAGUCAAUCAAAUAUUUUAUGUUGACAUGUCAUUUUGUUAUUCUUAUUUUUCUAAUACAUAAAUGACUUAUAAUAAGAAGUGGUAUGGUAAAAUCAUCGUUCGAAAGAUAAAAAUUUAAUUUAAAACACUAAGAGCUAAUUUCACAUUUUAUGUCUAUUUUAUUUUUCAUUAAAUAUUAUUUAUUUUCUUAAUACCUAGAUGACUCAUAAUAGUUAAUUAAAAGCGAUUGAUUAUGUUAUUACUAUAAAAAUUAAUAUANNNNNNNNNNNNNNNNNNNNNNNNNNNNNNNNNNNNNNNNNNNNNNNNNNNNNNNNNNNNNNNNNNNNNNNNNNNNNNNNNNNNNNNNNNNNNNNNNNNNNNNNNNNNNNNNNNNNNNNNNNNNNNNNNNNNNNNNNNNNNNNNNNNNNNNNNNNNNNNNNNNNNNNNNNNUACUUUAAAAAUUUAAAGUUAAGUUUAAAUAUUAGUAUUCCUAUAUAAGAAAAAAAUAAUUUUAAAAUUUAAAUUUACUAAACUAAAUAAAUAAAUAAAAAGAUUAUUUUUCUAUAUAAAAUUCAAUUAAAAUAAUAAAAUUGAUUUACUUUAAAAAUUUAGUUGUAAUUAAUUAAGAUAAUGUUUUAUUUUGUCAUGAUUUAUGGUACACCGAUAAAAUUUUGAGAGUUGAAUAGAACUUUUAUCUAUUUUUAAAAAAGUAUUUUAACUUGUUAAUUGUUGUGAUUUAUAAUAAUUUUUACACAAUUAUCAAAUAAUAUAUUUACUCCUUGUGUCUCAAUUUAUGUAACUUCGAUACAAUUUUGAGAAUUAACUAAAAUUUUUAUAUAUCUUUUAAAUAUUUUAAGUUGUUAAUUAUUAUGAUUUGCAGUACUUUUUAUAUGUCUUUUAAAUAUUUUAAGUUAUUAAUUAUUGUGAUUCGUGGUAACAAAUUAGUUUUGAACAUGAUAGCCAAUUAAUUAAACAAUUUUUUUUACUUCCAAUAUGUAGUUAUAGUUAAUUAAUAUAAAUUAAUAGAAUAUAUUAAAUAUUUGAACUAUUAUGAUGAAACAAUAAAAUUAUUAUAUAUUGAGGUAUGAUAUGUAAUUAAGUGGUUGGGGCAUGGUAUGUAAUUAAGUGGGAGUGAAGGGUUUUUUUGGUAAUUACAUGAGAGGUGAUCGAAACCACCUCUUCUAUAUAAUAGAAAUACCACUACUACUACGACGACUAAUUAUUAUUAUUAAUAUUUUAAUAAAAUUUUCAUCUUAAUAACAAUUUAAUAACGUUAAUUUAAUAUACUACUACUACCCUUAAUAACGUUUUAUUAAUAACAUUUUAGUAACUUUAAUUUAAUAACGUUAAUUUAAUAAUAUUUUAAUAACAUUAAUUUAAUAACGUUUUAUUAAAACUAUAAAAAAUUUUAUUUAUUAUUAGUAUAGUAUCAUCUUUGAGCUGAAAAUAAUGAAAAAAUAAUAAUAAAAAGUCAUUUAAAUAUAUAAAAAGGAAUUAGUAAUGGCAUAAUAGUUAUUUUAUCCUUUUUUACUGUUGAAUGCUCAAAUUUUUAGCCCGACGCGCCCAGUUUUGCGUGUACAACACGCGUUUUGCCACAUAGGAUGUAAUGAACCAAUGUCCCACAUUGGAAAAAAAGAGAAAUGCUAAGGGGGUUAUAAGUCAAUGGGUUCUCCCACCUACUAGGCUAGUCUUUUUGGUUGGACUCUUCCGUUUGAUUUAGAACAUUGGUGCUCUCGUUGAGAGUCCCAUGCGUGGGGACCGUGACUUAGAGUGGUGGCCCAUGUGCCAGUAAUGGUGGCCUAGACCCGAGGGGUGCCAGCUGUGACCAACUGGGCAUAGCCGUGGCCAACGAGAAGCCCGUGACUCGGAGUGGUGGCCUAUGUGCCAGUAGUAGUGGCCUGGACCCGAGGGGUGCCAGCCGUGACCAACUGGGUAUAGCCAUGACCAAUGAGAAACAAACCACGUGUGGAGCCAUGUCUCGUAGUGGUGGCCUGUGUGCCAGUAGUGGUGGCUUGGACCCAAGAGGGGUGUCAUCCGUUACCAACUGGGCAUAAUCAUGACCAACGAGGUCGUUGGUUCUCAAGCGGAGGAGAUUGUAAUGAACCAAUGUCCCACAUUAGAAAAAAAAUGCUAAGGGGGUACGGGCCACCAUUACGAGUCACGGGCUCCUCGUUGGUCACGGCUAUGCCCAGUUGGUCACGGCUGGCACCCCUCGGGUCCAGGCCACCACUGUUUUGACAAAAUUUUGACUUUUUGAGAAGAGUUACUAAUUUUGAAAAGGAAUUAAGAAACCUUUAAAAAUACUUUCAAAUGAUUCAAAAUAGGAAAAUCUUUUUAAGUUAGAGAUUCUAGAUAAGCGGUUCAUAGUAACGUUUUAGAAAGAUGUUAGGCACCUAAAACGUCCGCUAACUUACGGUUAUUCAGACUGUUUGAAAAAUCAUCUUUUGAUUAACUUCGAAAAGAUUAAUUUUGUCGAAAAGUGAUUGAUUAGGAAAAAGUUUUUUGCAAAAAUCAAUUUUUUAGAGACUUAGUUAGAGAUUCAACUAGGUUCACAAGAAACACGUAAAACAAACAAGCAUAAAGAAGAGGGGAAGGGGAGGAUGUAAGGGAUUUAGGCCAUUAGGCCCAAAUCAAUAAGACCUGUCCUAGUCUAAUUGGAUUUUUGGCCAUAACCUGUCCUAAACUAUUUUUUCAGGCUCGUUGGUCCAAAAUCUGCGCCACCUGUAUUAAAUUUACAACUUUGGCUUCGAGGCCAAAUGAAUAAACCGUGAAAUAAAUAAAAUAAUAAAUAAAUAAAGACAACAAUACGAAUGAAAUAAAUGAAGAAACAAGACUUUUAAGUCUCCUAGAAAACUUUGAUCCAUUCUCCUUCUUUCGCCUCUUGCACUUGCAUGCCAUGUAACUCAAUUUGGACCUCCUUUCGGGGCUAGACUCGAAAGAUGGUCCAUAUUGGCCCAUUACGUAAUGCAAAGUGAAAGAGCCCGUAUGUACUUCGUGGUGAAUUCAUGCAAAGAAAAGAAAAAUAUAUGAAUUAAUAAAUGUUCAUUGAACAAUCUAUCUUGACAACAAAAGAAAUUUCGAAGGUUCAAGGCUUUCGAAAGUCACUACUCUAAACUCAAGCAUAAAAAGGAAACUCUGGUACAAGAUAAAAGAACUUUUGACAUGUAACUGAUUCUUGAAUCUUUAAUAUAGGGAUCAAAGAGAGCAUGAUAUAUUACACACUAGUAAUUUUUGCAUAGAAACGUGCAUAUGCAUGAAAGAAUUCCAGUAAAGGGUUUCAGUUUUCCUAGUCUAAUAUGACGAUCUAAUGAGCAUAGAACAUAAUAUUGGUCGUAUUUUCUAUAGUAGAGGGAUGCUAUAGCAGUUGUUAGGGGAUUACAUUAGCAGUAAAUCCCAAUCACCCCCCUUCGUGAUAAACAGAUAACUUCAAGUGCUUACUAACAAAAUACAUCAAAGUUAAAAAAAAAAAUUUAUCAAUUAGCCAUCAAAAAUUCUCGACUGAGAUGUAAAACUGAAGAGCUGAAGAUAACUUUUAAAAUAGAUGAAUAAAUUCACGCAACAGGUGGAUCAAGAAAAGUUCAUUUCAACUCUCUUCUCUUGUGUUAUACGGUAUACAAGGCAAUCCGAUCAAUGAAAGCAAAGAAAUUCUCACUUAAAUGAAGAAACUAUCAACACUUCUGAUCACUAAAACCAAAAUCCACACGAGAAUAGACGUAGUAAACGAAGCUAAAGGGGAAGUGGCGGAACACUAAUAUCGACCUCAUCCUUUUUCUGACAAGCUCGGAAUGAGUUUCAAUGGUUAGAAUGAUCAUCGAGGAAUCAUGGGAUUCGCUAGUUUUUACACACAUCCUCAUUAUUCUUUGUCAUUUGAGAAGCCAAAGAAUCCAAGAGGUGGUCCUACUAAUGAUGCUACCAGCUCAACCACAUCAAACUAAUGACAAAAAAAACCAGACGAUAUCAAAUACUAUCCACGAACAUAACACCCUCAACCCAAAAUCGUUAAACAAAGUUCAAAGUGCGGAACUUUAACCAUGAAAUUAGGUAUAUCGAGAUAUCAAUAGCCUGAGACAAAAUCAAAGUAUGCAACUUUACUAUGAAAAUAACUAUAAUGACCCGUCAUUAGCCCGAAACUAUUUAUCAGACUUAAAGCAAGGAACUUUACUGUGAAAACCAGCUUAUUCGACUCUUAAUAAACAUUCAGAAUGAGAGUACUAGAUCAAAACUCAGUCCACAACGUUAUUCCGAUCACACAAUAGGCUAUAAAUUAAAAGAAGUAAUCACUCAUAGAUAGAGAUAGUGGAUUUAGGGCACUUUAAUGAAGAACAUGUCCUUAAAAGUACUAAGCAGCGGCAUCAAACACAUUGACUCAAAUACCAACAUAGCAAUAACUAUCAUGAAUGAAACUGUAACGCCCUGCAAUUAGGGCUACAAUAUAGACCAAAAUUUCGAUGCGUUGCUAAUCUCGAAGCCAUAAAAUCCUAUGCCAAUAUGGCAUGUUAAUUAUUGUGUAGCAUGUAAAUCCACUCAAGCUUGAAUUUAGACCAUAGAGGUCCUUCAACUCAAGGGAGAUUUGAAACUAUUUUGAUCGACUAAAUUUUAGUAGAUGUUAUAAAGUGUGUCAGCUUCCAUCGACUAUAAAUCUCUGUAUAUAUCGAAUUAGGAAGCCUACUAUGUGUCAAAUAAUAGGUAUUUGAGUUAGCUUUCCAACGAUACCAAUUUGGCUAAAAUUCAGCACCUGAGCAAGAAGUUAUGGCCCUUUAAAGUGAUAAACGUUGCCUAACCAAUCGCCCAUGGCCACUGGAAAGCAUAGUCAAUAGCCUAUGCGGCGCCUAUGUGAAUAUAGGCAAUAGGAUGGGCGGCGCCUAUGUAAGAAAUUCUAGUGAUUUAAACACUCCGUGUUGGGGACAAAGUAGUUCUUUUCCACCCUUAUUUAGCCCUAAAACACAGAUUUAGUUCCAAGGACCCCAAAAUACAUAUUCUUUCAUCAAAAGUGCUCAAGAUUCUCCUUAGGGUUUCAAAAUAAAAACCCAAAUAGUUCAAGAGUUGACCGUAGGUUUUCAAAGAUAAUUACAUAUUUGGAAUCACCAAUCCGCAAGCUUCAAGAAACAUCUAUUAUCCUUGGAAAUAAAGGUACGUGGGGUUAUCCAAAAAUCUCAUGGGUGUAGUUUUUAUGAACAUGCAUGCUUUUAAAUGGGGGUUUUCAAUCAAAUGCUAAUAUCUUGCUUUCAAUAUGAUUUCUAAGUCAUUUUCUUUAUGUCAUGGGAAUUGUUUGCCUAUAUACUUCAAUGGUUGAAACCAUGCAUAUGUGAUUUGAGAUUUUCCAUGGAAGUUUGAUAAAUAUGAAUGAUAAAUUGCUUUCAAAUUCCGAUGAUAAUGUCUUGAUAUCCCAUAUCAUAUUGUGACCAACAAAAGAGAGCAUGAAUUUGAAAUAAACAUUAUUCAUCACUUGUAAAUGAUGAAGCACCUUGGUUUUUACAUGAUUAUGCAUAUGAAGAUGUGAUAUUGAUGACUUGCAAGUCGGGUAUGACGAUACCCUACAGAACAUGAUAUGUGAUUGAAUCAGAUGAAAUUUGAUACCAGGCUAAGUGAUCUUGUGUACUUGACUUCAUAUCAUUCCCAAAUUGGGACUAUAGGUAGGAGCCCGAGCCAAGUGAUCUUGGGCACUACCAUUGGGUCGAGACACCAUGUUGUGUGAUCUUGUAUGUCUCUCCCUCACUUAUACUCUAAUCUCGGCGGCAACCGAGGUUUGACAGUUGGUGUAAAUUAUGUAGGGUAUUCCACUUAGCUUAGUUGCAUUUCAUUACUGUUGAGAAAAACUAUUGCAUUACACCCAUGUGCUUUCAAUGAUUUGAUACGAAAUUGCUUUAUAAUGGCUCCCAACUAUAUUUUGUAAAAAUAUUAUGUUUUGUUUUGAUAUCUCUGUGUGCCAGUACUUUUGUGCUGACCUCCUCCCCUCUCCAACCUCUCAGGUUCAGAGGCCCAGUCUAGGGGUCAAGAGAAUUAGUAGAUCAUUCGGACAGAGUUGCAGAGACAAAUGGUGAGCCUUCUAUAUUUUGAAAGGUCUUUUGUCCUGCAGUCCUUUUAUGUUAUAUUCAGUUUUAGGGUAUGCUGGGGGCCUUGUCCCAGUUUUCAGAUAGACAUUGUUUCAGUCAUGUAGUAGAGAUUUCGCAGACGGUUUUUAGAGAUGUUAAUUUAGAUUGUGGGACACUAUUUCCCCAUUUUAGUUUUGAUAUGAUUCUUGACCAUGUUUCCGUUAUCUUGUGUAUCUUCCGCAUUUUUUUGUCAUAAAUUAUGUGCAUGAUUAUCAGACAUAUAGGGGUGUUUCGAGCCUCCAUGGUUUAAAAUGCUCGUCACGGCCAUGCCCUGAUUUGGAUCGUGACAAACUUGGUAUCAAAGCACAGUUCAUGGUCCCAGGGUGUCUGGGAAAUCGCGUUAGGUAGAGUCUUAUUUAUGGGUGUGUAGCGCGCCACACUUAUAAGUAGGAGGUUGCUAGGCGUUUAGGAAAUGUUUCCCUUCUUUGUGAUUUAGUUCGUGCUUCAAAGUCUGAACUGUCCCCUAAUCAAUGAUCACUUGUGUUUCAGAAAUACAGUUAUGCCUUCACGUUGUAUCGUCGAUCAGAAUGCUCAGGUAGAUGAGGUCCGUCCCACCCAUGGGAUGCGGACCCAUAAUAGGGCUCACACUUAAGAAUUUGUCCAUACUUCGGGAGUCCCUCCAGUCCCGACCAGUCCACCUCGAGCUCCAUAGACUAAUGCCAACCGUCCCCCAACUGCUCAGGGAGAUAUUUUAACGGCAGAAUUCAGACGGUCUAUUCAUAUGCUGAUACAUCUGGUAGCUAACCAGGAUCAAUAAUCAAAAGAUGUUGGGUCUGUAUCUGUUACAUCUGAGGCUACUAGAGUCGGACAUUUCAUGAAGAUGAACCCACCUAAGUUCACUGGUACCAAGGUGGAGGAAGAUCCAUAGGAGUUCGUGGAUGAGAUGGAAAAGAUCUUUAAGGUGAUAUAUGUGGAUGAGGUUGAAGGGGUGGAGCUAGCAACCUAUCAGCUCAAGGAUGUUGCGAAUCAGUGGUAUGCCGACUUGGAAAAUGAAAAAGGUGAAAGUGCUGAGCCCACAGUUUGGGGCAAAUUUGUGGGAUCUUUCCUUAAUCGAUUCUUUCCUCUAGAGUUGAGAGAGGCCAAAGAGGAAGAGUUUAUGAAUCUGAAGCAGGGCAGUAUGAGUGUCCAGGAGUACACUUUGAAGUUUAAUAAACUAGCCCGCUAUGCACCAGAGUUGACUAGUAACAUGAGGGCCCGGAUGAGGAAAUUUGCAUCUGGCCUUGCUGAUGACCUGAUACUUGAGUGCUAAGGGGCUAUGUUGAAUAAGGAGUUAGACUUUGCUCGACUGACCGUUCAUAUGAAUCAAGUGGAGGAGAAGAAAAAGAUUGCUGAUCUAGAUAGAAAGACAGACAGGCUAAGAGAGCUAGAUCUGCGGACCAGCACCAGAGUCAGCCGCAGAGUGGUAACUGGGGUAAUAAGUGGUUAAAGAAGAAGAAGUUUUGGAAUAAUUCACAGUUAGCAGCCAGCGCCCCAGCACCCAGACCACCGACAGACAGAUAAACUCAGAGUUUUCAGACUCCUCAUGGGUCCAAAGCUCUAGGUACACAGUCUCAGGGCAAUGUGGCCCAGCAGCGUCGUACUCGUCCGCGGUGUGAGGUUUGCAAAAGCAAUCAUCUAAGGAAGUGUUGGUUUGAGGAGAGAAACUGCUAACUUAUGGCAAAGUGGGCCACCUUCAGAGAGAUUGUCCAUCUGCUGGAGUAAAUACGGGGGAGGGGGGGGAGGAGGGGCUAAGUCCCAAGUCGCUUCCACAGCUCUUUUUCCUAAGGGUUCUCCUUCAGCUGCCGAAAGUAGUCACAACCGGUUAUAUUCUUUGACUAACCGCCAGGAGGCGAAAGCUUCACCAGAUGUUGUCACCGGUAUGUUACGAAUCUUUUCUUGUGAUGUUUAUGUAUUACUUGAUCCUGGGUCUACUUUAUCUUAUGUGACUCCUUAUGUGGCUGUUGGUUUCGAGUUUGAGCCUGAAGUUAUUGUAGAAUCCUUCUCUGUUUCUACUCUUGUUAGGUGAUUCUGUUGUUGCUAGAAGGGUAUAUAGAAAUUGUGUUGUGUCUAUUCAUAGUAGAGAAACUGUGGCAGACCUUAUAGAACUAGAUAUGAUAGAUUUUGAUGCCAUCCUUAGGAUGGACUGGCUCCACUCGUGUUAUGCCACCAUUGAUUGUAAAACUCAAAAGGUCACUUUUUCUUUCACGAAUGAGACACCAGUUGCAUGGGCAGGGAGUUCUGUGGAACCUAGAGGUCACUUUAUCUCUUAUCUUAGAGCCCGAAAGCUUAUCUCCAAAGGUUAUAUGUAUCAUCUAAUUCGAGUAAAAGAUUCAAAAGUUGGAAACCUUCCUUUGCAGUCAGUCCCUGUAGUGAAUGAAUUCCCAGAAAUCUUUCCCGAAUAUCUCCCAGGGAUACCCCCUGAUAGGGAGAGAUUUUGGCAUUGAUGUGUUGCCAGACACUCGUCCUAUUUCUAUUCCGCCAUAUAGAAUGGCUCUCGUAGAACUAAAGGAGUUAAUGGAACAGCUUGCAGACCUCCUAGACAAAGGUUUUAUUCUUCCUAGUGCUUCCCCAUGGGGUGCACCCGUGCUCUUCGUGCGAAAGAAGGAUGGGUCCCUUCGGAUGUGCAUAGAUUACCGUCAGUUGAAUAAGGUCACGAUUAAAAAUAUAUAUCCUCUUCCUAGGAUUGACGACCUUUUUUACCAACUUCAGGGUGCCAAGUGCUUUUCAAAAAUAGACCUUCAUUCAAGUUAUCAUCAGCUAAAAGUUAGGGAGUCAGACAUACCCAAGAUAGCCUUCCGAACCCGAUAUGGUCAGUACAAAUUUCUAGUCAUGUCCUUUGGGCUGACUAACGCCCCUGCAUCCUUCAUGGAUCUUAUAAAUAGAGUGUUCUGUCAGUUUCUUGACUUGUUCGUCAUUGUAUUUAUUGAUAAUAUUCUGAUCUAUUCUAAGAGUAAAGAGGAUCACGCCAAUCACCUUCGAAUUAUCCUUCAAACCCUUAAGGAUCAUCAGUUGUAUGCCAAAUUUUCUAAGUGUGAAUUCUGGUUAGACGCUAUUGCCUUCUUGAGGCAUCUUAUGUCCAGUGAUGGGAUAAGAGUGGAUCCCCAAAAAGUUGAAGCUGUGAGAAAAUGGCCCAGACCCACAACUCCAACCGAUAUUCGAAGCUUCUUGGGUUUGGCGGGGUAUUACAGAAGGUUCGUAGAGAGUUUUUCUUCCAUAGCUGCUCCGCUUACUAAACUGACUAAGAAAAAGAUGAAGUUUGUGUAGUCUGACUUGUGUGAAAACAGUUUUGAGAAAUUGAAGGACAAGCUGACUACCCUGUUUUGACCCUUCCCGAGGGUGUAGAUGAUUUUGUGGUUUAUUAUGAUGCGUCCUGUGUGGGACUUGGUUGUGUAUUGAUGCAGCAGUGGUAAGGUGAUAGCUUAUGCAUCUAGCCAGUUAAAGGUGCAUGAGUGCAAUUACCCCAUCCAUGACUUGGAGUUAGCAGCCGUGGUAUUGACGCUUAGAAUAUGGAGGCACUAUCUCUAUGGAGUGCAUGUUGAUAUUUAUACUGACCAUGAGAGUUUACAGUAUGUUUUCUCACAGAAAGAAUUGAACCUCAGGUAGAGGCGUUGGAUGGAGCUUUUGAAAGACUAUGAUUUAAGUCUGCAUUACCAUCCGAACAAGGCAAAUAUUGUAGCUGACGCCCUCAGCAGGUUGACUAUGGGCAGCCUUUCUCAUGUUGAAGAAAGAAAGAAAAAGAUGGUGAAAGAUAUUCACCACCUUACAAAUCUGGGAGUGCGCCUCUUAGAUUCCGAAGAUAGAGGGGUGAUUGUUCAUGAGUUAGCUAAGUCAUCUCUUUGUGCUGAAGUUAAGGAGAAGCAGGUUAAAGAUCCCAUCUUGAUGCAAAUCAAGAAAGAUGUGGGUCAACAAAAGGUUAUGUCAUUUGAUAUUGGUGGCAAUGGUAUUCUGAGAUUUCAGGGUAGGUUGUACGUUCCGAAUGUCGAUGGUUUAUAGGAAAGAAUCCUUAAUGAGGCGCACACUUUGAGGCAUGUCAUUCACCCAGGCUCUACUAAGAUAUACCAUGAUCUGAAAACCUUGUAUUGGUGGAAUAACAUGAAAUGUGAUGUAGCUGAUUUUGUGUCCAAGUGUUUGAACUGUCAACAAGUGAAGGUAGAACACAUGAGGCCGGGUGGUACUUCCCAAGAGAUAUCCCUGCCUUUAUGGAAGUGGGAGAUGAUAAACAUGGACUUCAUUAUAGGACUUUCGAGAUCCCGAAACCAGUAUGAUUCUAUACGGAUGAUUGUAGAUCGGUUGACCAAGUCAUCCCACUUUUUGCCUGUGAGGACUAAUUAUUCAGGAGAGGUUCAUGCUAAGAUUUACAUUGAGGAUAUAGUUUGAUUGCAUGGGGCACUAGUGUCCAUUAUAUUCGAUAGAGGUAUGCAGUUUUCAUCUCAGUUUUGGAGAUCCUUUCAGAAGGGUUUAGGUACAUAAGUGAAUUUGAGCACAGCUUUCCACCCUCAGACGGAUGGGCAAGCUGAGCAUACCAUUCAGACCCUCGAAGAUAUAUUGAGCACAUGCGUCAUUGAAUUCAAAGGUAGUUGGGUAGAUCACCUUCCACUGGUUGAAUUCGCUUACAAUAAUAGCUACCAUGCCAGCAUCAAGAUAGCUCCUUUUGAGGCUUUGUAUGGAAGGAGAUAUAGGUCUCCGAUAGGAUGGUAUAAAGUGGGUGAGACUCAGUUGUAUGGGUCUGAUCUUGUUCAUCAGGCGAUGGAGAAAGUGAAAAUCAUUAGAGAAUGACUCAAGACUGCUCAGAGUUGCCAGAAGUCCUAUGUCGAUGUUCGAAGAAGAGAGCUAGAGUUUGAAAUUGGUGAUUGGGUGUUUCUCAAGGUUUCUCCUAUGAAAGGAGUUAUGCGGUUUGGCAAAAGGGGUAAAUUGAGCCCUCGUUAUGUAGGGCCAUAUCAAAUUUUGAAAAAGAUUGGUACAGUUGCAUAUGAGUUAGAAUUGCCUGUAAGUUUGGGUUUCAUUCAUCCGGUAUUCCAUGUAUCCAUGUUGAAGAAAUGCGUUGGAGAUCAUUCUAUGGUAUUGCCAGUAGAGGGUAUUAAAGUGACAGACUCUUUGCUUUACGAAGAAGAGCCCGUUGAAAUUUUAGAUCGCCAAGUUCGAAAGCUGAGAAACAAAGAGAUAGCCUCAGUAAAGGUUCUGUGGAGGAAUCAUAAAGUCGAAGAAGCAACUUGGGAGUCAGAAGAUGACAUGAGAAUUAGUUAUCCUAAUUUGUUUGCUUCGAUGGAGGAGGAGACAGAAGGUACUAUUCCUAUCUUAUCUUUCCUAGUCCUUUAUUAUGCAUGAAAUCGUAUCUGUCUAUGUCCCGCAUCAUCAUUCGGGGAUGAAUGAUCCUAAAGGGGGAUAAUGUAAUGCCUCGUAAUUUGGGCUAUAAUAUAGACCAUGAUUUUGAUGCAUUGUUAAUCCCGAAGAAUAAAAUCCUAUGCCAAUACAGAAUUUUUAUUAUUGUGUAGCAUGUGAAUCCACUCAAGCUUGAAUUUAGACCAUAGAGGUCCNNNNNNNNNNNNNNNNNNNNNNNNNNNNNNNNNNNNNNNNNNNNNNNNNNNNNNNNNNNNNNNNNNNNNNNNNNNNNNNNNNNNNNNNNNNNNNNNNNNNNNNNNNNNNNNNNNNNNNNNNNNNNNNNNNNNNNNNNNNNNNNNNNNNNNNNNNNNNNNNNNNNNNNNNNNNNNNNNNNNNNNNNNNNNNNNNNNNNNNNNNNNNNNNNNNNNNNNNNNNNNNNNNNNNNNNNNNNNNNNNNNNNNNNNNNNNNNNNNNNNNNNNNNNNNNNNNNNNNNNNNNNNNNNNNNNNNNNNNNNNNNNNNNNNNNNNNNNNNNNNNNNNNNNNNNNNNNNNNNNNNNNNNNNNNNACUGAAAGCAUAGGCAAUAGCCUAGGCGGCGCCUAUGUAAACAUAAGCGAUAGCCUAGGCGGCGCCUAUGUGAACAUAGGCAACGGGAUGGGCGGCGCCUAUAUAAGGAAUUCUAGUGAUUUAAAUACUCCGUGUUGAGAACAAAGUGAUCCUUUUCCACUCCGUGUUGAGGACAAAGUGAUCCUUUUCCACCUUACUUAGCCCUAAAACACGAGAUUUAGUUCCAAGGACCCCAAAAUACAUAUUCUUUCAUCAAAAGUGCUCAAGAUUCUCCUUAGGGUUUCAAAAAACUCAAAUAAUUCAAGAGUUGACCGUAGGUUUUCAAAGAUAAUUACAUAUUUGGAAUCACCAAUCCUCAAGCUUCAAGAAACAUCUAUUAUCCUUGGAAAUAAAGGUACGUGGGGUUAUCCAAAAAUCUCAUGGGUGUAGUUUUUAUGAACAUGUAUGCUUUUAAACGGGGGUUUUCAAUCAAAUGCUAAUAUCUUGCUUUCAAUAUGAUUUCUAAGUCAUUUUCUUUAUGUCAUGGGAAUUGUUUUCCUAUAUACUUCAAUGGUUGAAACCAUGCAUAUGUGAUUUGAGAUUUUCCAUAAAAGUUCGAUAAAUAUGAGUGAUGAAUUAUUUUCAAAUUCCCAUGAUAAUGUUUCGAUACUCCAUAUUAUAUUGUGAUCAACACAAGAGAGCAUGAAUUUGAAAUAAAUAUUAUUCACCACUUGUAAAUGAUGAAGCACCUUGGUUCUUACAUGAUUAUGCAUAUGUGGAUGUGAUAUUGAUGACUUGCAAGUUGGGCAUGAUGAUACCCUACAGAAUAUGAUAUGUGAUUGAAUAAGAUAAAAUUUGAAUGCAUUGAUUUUACAUGAGAAAGGUGGAUGCCCGAAGAAGGCGUUUGAGACACAAGGGCUCAUCGCUGGAAAAACGUGUUUGCCGACAUGGAAUAUUGGUACCAGGCUAAGUGAUCUUGUGUACUUGACUUUAUGUCAUUCCCAAAUUGGGACUAUAGGUAGGAGCCCGAGCCAAGUGAUCUUGGGCACUACCAUUGGGUCGAGACACCAUGCUGUGUGAUCUUGUGUGUCUCUCCCUCGCUUAUACUUUAAUCUCGACGGCAAUCGAGGUUUGACAGUUGGUGUAAAUUAUGUAGGGUAUUCCACCUAGCUUAGUUGCAUUUCAUUACUGUUAAGAAAAACUAUUGCAUUACACCCAUGUGCUUUCAAAUGAUUAGAUACGAAAUUGCUUUAUAAUGGCUCCCAACUAUAUUUUGUAAAAAUAUUAUGUUUUGCUUUGAUAUCUCUGCGUGCCAGUACUUUUGUGUUGACCCCCUCCCCUCUCCAACCUCUCAGGUUCAGAGGCCCAGUCUAGGGGUCAAGAGAAUCAGUAGAUCAUUCAGACGGAGUUACAGAGACAAGUGGUGAGCCUUCUAUGUUUAGGAAGGUCUUAUGUCCUGCAGUCCUUUUAUCUUAUAUUCAGUUUUAGGGUCUGCUGGGGGCGUUGUCCCAGUUUUCAGAUAGAAAUUGUUUCAGUCAUGUAGUAGAGAUUUCGCAGACGGUUUUUAGAGAUAUUAAUUUAGAUUGUGGGACACUAUUUCCCCAUUUUCGUUUUCAUAUGAUUCUUGACCAUGUUUCCGUUAUCUUGUGUAUAUCAGACAGAUAGGGGUGUUUCGGGCCUCUAUGGUUUAAAAUGUUCGUCACGGCCAUCCUGGUUCGGUUCGUGACAGAAACCUACGACUAUCGAAGCCAUCUACCAGCAAACAAUCCUAGCGUACAAUGUUACUAAAAAUUUAUUCACAACUACAGAAGGUCGAGAUGAAGCAGGAACAAACGAAAGCUUAAACGGAGUAGGAUAUUACUUUUCAGAGAGAAACAAAAAGAGAUGGCGAAUCAGUAUGGAGAUCACCACCACCAGGAAACUUCUUCACCGUCAAUCGAAACUCUAAUUUAGCCGAUGAACAAGAACAAAAUUUCUACUCAAGAUAGAAUUUUCUCAAGAGUUUUCUUUCUUUUUCUUUCUUCCUUUUCUUUCUUUCUUGUCUAUCCUCUCAAAUUGUUCGUACCCCAGAAAAAAAAAUUUCCCUUUUAUCUCUAAGAUUUCCCCCUACUUUUCAAACCCAAAAUUUCCAAUCCAGAAGGGAAGAAGAGAGAAAAAAAAUCCUCGUUCUCACAGCUCAACCGAACUCUUUAUAGAAUACAAAUUAGGGUAAAAAGGGAAACCACCCGUUGAAAAAAUUGAAUUCCAUUCCAAAAUCAGAUCAACAUUUUUUUUGAAUUUCUUGAGAAAAUGGCAAUCGGUGGACCAAUUAAAAAAUGGGAAAAACCAAAUCCUUUUUCCAACCAAUGAAAAACGCCCAAAUACGUACUAAUCCAUACCAUUAUCCCAAAAUUUGUGGAAUGUCGACAUUAGAUGAGCCAACUCACCCUCGUUCUAGAAGAUUCGAGGGUUUUUUCUGAGAAAUAAGAGUAGGGAGAUAGGAACACGUCAUUUUCGGUUUGAGAACGGGUCAAUUUGGUUAUUGGAUUCGGACUUUUGAUGGUGUUUUUGGAUUGAUGUUGUCGUUUGUUGAGGCUGUACGCUGGAGGAGUUGUACGCGUGGUUUCUGUGCGUGCGUAUACACGGUAUGUAUGUUGGUUGUUAUUGAUUAAAGAAGAAGGGGAAUUAAGAGUUGGGCCGGGUCGGUGGUUUGAUUUUGGGCCACUGGGAUGUGGGCUGGCAUUUAGAGAAUUGGGCCUGGGGCUGUUAAGGAAUAGAUGAAGGGAGAUUGGGCCUGAUCGGUGAUGGGCUGGGUCAACUGAUACUAUUGGGCUGCACAGCUAACCCAGAUUUGGGUUUUUAGGGAUGGGGUAAUUUAUAAAAUAGCUUCACUUAACAAUUAACUCAUUCUAAUUAAAUUUUGAUCAAAUUAAAGGUUAAUUGGCCAAAUGCAUUGCGAUUGUGGCCGAUUUAAUUUCGAUUUAUGAUCAAAUUUAAUAGAUUGAUUAAGUCGAAUUGAAAUUAAAUACGAAUGAAUACUUCUUUUAAUCUCGAACUUCUUGAUUUAAUAAAAUCAAACAAAUAUCUCUCCGAAUAAAUUAUUUUUUGAGAAUAAAUUAUAAUUAAAUUAAGAUUUUAACCAUUGUAAAUUUAUUUCAAGAUAAGCCUUGAUUAUAAUCCGAUGUUUUGUAAAACGAAUAUUUAAGUAUCAAAAUUUUAAUUUCGUAUAAUUGAAUACGAUAAUAUAUAAUUGCUAUUUUAAAAUGACAAAACUAUGUACAGAAAAUAUUUUGAAAACCCUUUAUUCGGAUAAAAUAAAUGUUGUAAUUUUAUUUGAAAAUUGAAGAAAGUCCGUAUUAAACUUAGCUAUGGAGGGCAAAAAUUAGGUGUCAACAACCACUACUGGCACAUAGGCCACCACUCCGAGUCACGGGCUCCUCGUUGGUCACGGCUAUGCCCAGUUGGUCAUGGAUGGCACCCCUCUUAGGUCCAGGCCACCACUAAUGACACACAGACCACCACUCCGAGACGCGGCUCCACAUGUGGUUUGUUCCUCGUUGGUCACGGUUAUGCCCAGUUGGUCACGGCUGGCAACCUUCGGGUCCAGGCCACUACUACUGGGCUAGUCUCCCACCUACUAGGCUAGUCUUUUGGGUUGGGUUCUCCCGUUUGGUUUAUAACAUAGGAUCAAAGGUCAUAUUUAUGCAGUUUUGAAUAGUUAAAGGUCUUAUUUGUGCACUAUCAAAGUAUAAGGUCAAAGUUAUAAUUUGGUUUCAAGUUUAGAGUUAUAUUUAUGUAUUAUGCCUUUUUUAAACUCCAUAUUUAAUUAAAUAACGACACAUAAAAUGGGAAGGAUAUAGUAUUUCUUUCAUUCAUGUGGCUUUUAAAAAAAAAAAGAUGUGGUAAGAGAAAGGAGCAAAUUCAUGGAAUGAUAAUCCAUGCUUGAGAAAUUAUCUCCUAAUUUUUUAUUUUUUUUUUAGGAUUAUAAUUUACUCAAGUAUCUUUAUUUCUCUCAAAGUAUACGUGACACUAUAUAAACUAUCUUUUCUCCUUCUUGUAUGUCAUGUUACAUUGAACUUCAGUUUUUUCACUAUUCUAUUUAACCCAAUUAAAUUUUAGAUUCGCUGAUAGAAAACAACACUAAAGUGCAAAUUUUUGUCUGCAUCACUCUAAGUAAAACAUGUAUUAAGGACACAAUUUUUGCAUAAUCUUGCUUUAUUUUUUAUGCUUAGUUGGAUUGGACUCAUGAUUAUAUGCUAUUGUGGAAGAAAAUUAUGCAAAUAUAGAUAACAGAGAUAUAAAAAUAAAUUAUUCUCUUCUAUUAACGAUAAAAAGAAAGUUUAAAGAUAAAUCAUAUUUAAAUCUGAAAAUGUGUUGUUCUUUUGUGAAAAAAAAAACAAAUAAAAAUAAAAUAGCGUCACCUAAACUUAACCAAUGGCAGUAUAUGAUAUUGACAUUACUAUGGUCUCAACGCAAAUGCUUAACCAUCAGAAAGAAUCCUGAUAUGCAUACUUCUCAAUUAAGGACACCAAUAAUCUUAAUACUAAUUAAAUAUAUUGGAUGAAAGCUGCAGUAACAUGCAAAUGAAUAUAAAUGGCUUUAACAUGUUUAAGAGAGUAACAAAAUUUUGAGCUGGGGAUACCCUUCUUUCCUUGUUCCCUAUGAAAGGAAUCCAAAUCUAAAGAGAGAAGAAAAGAAAGUAAAGUGGAAUAAAGAAAUCUUUCAAGACAAAGGAAGACUUUUUCUCCAUAAUCUCCAGCUAAUCUUUACUCAUAUAUCAUACAUACAACAUUAAGUAUAAGGUUUCUUGCAUCAAUCUCCUUUAUUCAGAUUCUCACGUUGGACUUCUCUUUUUUUUUGCUGUUUUGAUACAUUCUCUAUGUUUGUACAAACUCCUUAUAAAAGGGUGUCCUGUUUUUCCAUUAAAAUUAUCAGCCAUCUCUAAUCUGAUAUAUAGUAAUUUACUAGAUUGACAAAGAUGGCUAAGAACAUUGGCAUUCUUGUUUGCCUUCUUCUUGUGAUUUUAGAUGUUGCGGCUGGUAUACUAGGAAUUCAAGCUGAGGUAGAACAAAAUAAGGUAAAUAUUCUUUGGUGAAAUAUGUUUGAUCAGUAUAAAUUGUUGAAAUGUGUGGCCGUCUCAUUAAAAAACUUAGGUCACAGAGAGCACACUUUUACUUGAUUAUAUUCUAAACACGCCCUUCACGUGCGAGCUUGAUUCUUAUUCAUGAGCCAAAUAUGUGAAAUUUCUUUUGUUUUUAUAACAGGUGGUAGUGAUGCUUGAACUCAUAACCUUCGUUUUUUGUUAUACCAUGUUGAAGUGCAUGGUCAUCUCGUGUAGAAACUUAAGUUUAGAGAGCAUACAGCUCUAUUUACUUAAUUAUAUUUUGAACAUCAAUUUUACACGUUGAUGUGGAAACUGAGGUAUAAAAUUAUUGUUAUUUUUUUGUUAAUUAACGAAAUUAGGGUUGAUGUGUUGGAACAGGUUCAAGAAUUGAAGGUGUGGAUUUUUGAAUGUAGAGAUCCAAGCUAUGAAGCUUUUAAGCUAGGAUUGGCUGCAACAGUACUUUUGGUUCUGGCACAAGUUAUUUCUAAUCUGCUUGCUGGUUGUAUUUGCAUCCAGUCUAAGGAAGAGCUGGAUAAGGCCUCUUCUAACAAGCAACUUGCUUUUGCUUCCUUUGUAUUCCAAUGGUAAUUUCUGUAUUCCUCUCUCUCCCGACUUAUUUAGAUUUGCUCUAGGUAGAAUUACUAAGGGCUAAAACGUUCUUUGCCCAAAGGUUCUCCUUUGGCAUAAAGAGCUUGAACCCGAGACCACUGGUUAAUGGUUCAAGAUUCUAACCAUCACAUCACAUAUAUGUUGAUAGCAUAGAGGGCAAUGGAUGUACCGGUGCUCCACAUCCACUGAUCUGAAAUUCUAAAUCCGCCUCUGCUCAUUGAAUAAUGCACUUUGUUUAUUUAUUACUAGUACUUAUCUUAUUCAUGGUUGUAUAUUUAAAAAGAAAUUAUUUGGAUACUAGGAUUAUAAUGGGCAUUGCAUUCACAUUGCUGGUAGCUGGAACAUUGUCAAAUGGGAAGGCAAGAAAAUCUUGUGGCAUAUCGCACCAUCGUUUCUUGUCGAUAGGAGGGAUAUUGUGCUUUAUCCAUGGACUUUUCUCAGUUUCUUACUACAUCUCAGCCACUGCCACCAUCCAAGAAGAUAAGAAACUGAAUCAACCUGGAAGCCAUGCAUGAGUACCAAAAAUAUGCAACCCUCCGCUAACGAGAAUUAGAUUAACUCAGUACUCCAUACGAGAGAAAUGAAAGCAGAAUAUGUAUGGAGAACUCAUCGUAACCAAGUUCCAUAUAUUCCUUUUUAAAAAUUCUGAAUAUUUCAUGUAAUAUUUCUUGAAUUUUAUGCUGUUUGUAACUUUUUCUAGGCUCUAAUGUAACUUUUACUGGAUUGCUGAAUUAAACUUUCCUACAUAUUCAUUGUGAAUUUCUUACAUGUUUUCUUAAUUAAUCAUUAGUAUAAUAACUCAAAUUUGUGGCUUAAUUGUAACAUGAUUUCAGUGCUUCUUUGCCUUGUAGCCUCUUUGCGGUUACUAAUCUGUACCUCUGCAUGCUAAUACUACAUGACAUUCAAGUACUUAAAUUUGAGUCAAGCAUGAAGAAAAUAUACAUUUGGAGAGUUAGGUUUGGUCACGUAGAUCUGGUGUUGCAAGCCGGAAGGACUUAGGACAGGAGAUGUAGUGAAACUUCAUAGCUGAGGUAGAUUUUUAUGCGUAACAGAUUAAAGAUAAAGCGUAACAUUGAGAAAUCCUAAUUUAUGUUAACAGUUUGCAGACCUCAAUCAGGUGAAAUUCCCAAUCAAAAUCACAUACAGAACUCAAACUGAGGUUCUCAGAUGCAGUGGUAGUUGUUUCAGAUUUUAAACAUUCUCCCAAAAUCAUUCUUCACAAUUGGAUUCAACAAGUAUUUGUUAACUUACAGGAAGUAAUAACAUAGUACAGAAAGCUUUCUAGCCAAGGUUCGCCAAAACAUCAUUUAAGGUAGAUACGGUAGCAGCAUAGUACAUCUCUGCUUCAGUGCUGUUCUUGGUCUUUGCUGCAUGGUCCAGCUGAUGAAAACAAAAUAGAAAACGGAUUGUCAGAAGAAAGCGAAAACAUAAGCAACCCGUCCAAUUACUUUAACCAAGAAUUUAGACAUUUAACUUACAUCACUAAUGGUCUUAAAGAGCUUUCCAGUCAGGUCCUGGAGUUUUCCCUUCUGGUCCUUUGGCUUAGCAGAGAUGACAGUCUUAAGGUCAUAGCGAAGGUAUUCUGCUCUGAGACGAAGGUCAUUCUGAACAUAAGGCCAGGCCUUUUUGUCGAUGAAAUCCUUGACACCAACAAUCUCCUUGGCUGAAUCCUUAACUCUUUGGACUGCCUCAGCUGGAGUCAAUGGUUGAAUGUAAAACCUAUUCUUCAAUGGCAAACUAAAAUCCCUUGGCUCAUCUGAGUUCAAAGUACCAGCUGCCAAAACCAAAUACUCGGCAUGAGUA